CGGGUAGAGUAAUACAUAAGUAACCUGCCCUAGACAGGGGGAUAACUAUUGGAAACGAUAGCUAAGACCGCAUAGGUACGGACACUGCAUGGUGACCGUAUUAAAAGUGCCUCAAAGCACUGGUAGAGGAUGGACCUAUGGCGCAUUAGCUGGUUGGCGGGGUAACGGCCCACCAAGGCGACGAUGCGUAGCCGACCUGAGAGGGUGACCGGCCACACUGGGACUGAGACACGGCCCAGACUCCUACGGGAGGCAGCAUG
rnacentral:rRNA from 1 species